rnacentral:lncRNA from 1 species
CGGAUACGUCCACUACUGGAGUGUGGAGAUUGGUGCCACUGCCUCCGUUAAGAGGAGUUUGCAUGUUAUCCGCGUUGUUAGUUGACAUGUCUGAUUGAGAGUGAUGUGGCUUUUGCGGGUUAGAUUGAGCCGUACCCCCCUCCUUCUAGCGCCAAACUGUGGGAACCGAAAUUCGCACUGUCGAUUUCCGUUUAAAUAAGGAAACUAGGAAAACCCUAAUUUCCCAGAGGACCCGGAUAACUGCUAAUUACCACACGUCAAGCAAUCAGAACACGAGAAUAACAACGAUAAAGUAUAAGAAAUCGAAAAAGAGAGCAAAGAAGAUCUUAUUUCCGAAUUUGCGUAUGAGCGUUUACAACAAGGUAUAAGCCUGGGCACGAGAGCUGUCGGCGAGAUUCUUAGUUCUAGCAACCCUAAGACGGUAAACCUAAUUGAGUCGCAGCUCGAAAUAACAAAAACGGAAAAAUGCCUACAUCGCUCUAAGUGCUAAGUUUGCUCUGAAAAAGUUCUCUUUCCCAUGCUCCUCGCCUAGGACUCCUUAUAUACUA